rnacentral:rRNA from 1 species
AUACGAAGGUCCCAAGCGUUAUUCGGAAUCACUGGGCGUAAAGAGUACGUAGGCGGUUUGGUAAGUCAGGUGUGAAAUUCCGAAGCUCAACUUCGGAACUGCAUCCGAUACUGCCAGACUUGAGUAAUGGAGAGGCAGGUGGAAUUCUCGGUGUAGCAGUGAAAUGCGUGGAUAUCGAGAGGAAGACCAAUGGCGAAGGCAGCCUGCUGGACAUUUACUGACGCUGAGGUACGAAGGCUAGGGGAGCGAAAGGGAUUAGAUACCCCAGUAGUCC